AACGAACGCUGGCGGCAGGCCUGACACAUGCAAGUCGAACGCCCCGCAAGGGGAGUGGCAGACGGGUGAGUAACACGUGGGAACCUUCCCAACAGUACGGAAUAGCCCAGGGAAACUUGGAGUAAUACCGUAUAUUCCCGAGAGGGGAAAGAUUUAUCGCUGUUGGAUGGGCCCGCGUCGGAUUAGCUAGUUGGUGAGGUAACGGCUCACCAAGGCGACGAUCCGUAGCUGGUUUGAGAGAAUGACCAGCCACACUGGGACUGAGACACGGCCCAGACUCCUACGGGAGGCAGCAGUGGGGAGUCUUGGACAAUGGGCGCAAGCCUGAUCCAGCCAUGCCGCGUGAGUGACGAAGGCCUUAGGGUUGUAAAGCUCUUUUGCCGGGGACGAUAAUGACGGUACCCGGAGAAUAAGUCCCGGCUAACUUCGUGCCAGCCGCCGCGGUAAUAC
rnacentral:rRNA from 1 species